rnacentral:lncRNA from 1 species
AGCAGUCAUGCUUUCUCUGAGACCCUGAGAUCCUGGUGUGACCAAGCUUCUGGGAUGCUGGGAACCCUGCAUCUCUAACACAGGAGUAUUGAUCUCUGUUACACUAAAGUGUAUGUGUUCACAUGAAUGCAGGCACUCAUGGGGACCAAAAGAGGAAUACUUCAUGCCAGCAGAAGAAUCCAGCCUCUGUGACAACCAUAGAAAUGUGCUGUUCUUUAAUCGCUGGCUGACUCAAUUGUGGUGAACACCAGAGGAACAAGCUUUUUGGCUGUUUGAAUUUCAAAGAACUCACUUUGAUACCACCAAAUGUUGGAUCUGAAAUUGCAGAGAGGAACUCUUUUUGGCUGACGAGAAUCCUUUUAGGAUGAAGGCCUUCUCUGGACACAGUUGCAGGAAAUGGAGAGUUUCCUGAUGAGGUUCACUCAAGUUCUGAUGUGUGAGGAAUGUUCUUUAAAAUACUAUUAAAGAUAAUCUGUUAGUAUGUUAAGA